rnacentral:rRNA from 1 species
AUUGAACGCUGGCGGCAUGCCUUACACAUGCAAGUCGAACGGCAGCACGGGAGCAAUCCUGGUGGCGAGUGGCGAACGGGUGAGUAAUAUAUCGGAACGUGCCCAGUCGUGGGGAUAACGUAGCGAAAGCUACGCUAAUACCGCAUACGAUCUACGGAUGAAAGCGGGGGAUCGCAAGACCUCGCGCGAUUGGAGCGGCCGAUAUCAGAUUAGGUAGUUGGUGAGGUAAAGGCUCACCAAGCCGACGAUCUGUAGCUGGUCUGAGAGGACGACCAGCCACACUGGGACUGAGACACGGCCCAGACUCCUACGGGAGGCAGCAGUGGGGAAUUUUGGACAAUGGGCGCAAGCCUGAUCCAGCAAUGCCGCGUGCAGGAUGAAGGCCUUCGGUUGGUAACGUAGCUUUUGUUACGGUAACGGAAACGGUA